rnacentral:tRNA from 1 species
GCCAGUGUGGUGUAGUGGUUAGGAUGUUGGACUAGGACUCUGCAGACCAGGGUUCGAAUCCCAGGCUUGCCC